rnacentral:rRNA from 1 species
CACGCUGUAAACGAUCAAUACUAGGUGUGCGGGGACUGACCCCCUGCGUGCCGCAGUUAACACAAUAAGUAUUGCACCUGGGGAGUACGAUCGCAAGGUUGAAACUCAAAGGAAUUGACGGGGGCCCGCACAAGCAGUGGAGCAUGUGGUUUAAUUCGACGCUACGCGAAGAACCUUACCAGGACUUGACAUGGAAUUUAAAACUCUAGAGAUAGAGCCAUAACAAGUUCACACAGGUGG